UUUCUGCACUGGGUCUCUUAUUCUGAUGACAGGCAUACUGUGAUGGCCACAGGGAGAAAGGAGCAGGACAUUUGGUGACAGUUGUUUGCUUUUCACAACUCUCGCUGACUUCAGCAAGAGUUUUCCUCGCCUUCAGCAGUCCUCACCGCACACACCCCCCCAACUGCUGCUCAUUUUUCCUGUCUCACGGUUCUCUGCUCAGGACUGGAGAAUAUUUUGGGGAACUUCACAGACACAUUGUCAAGAGCCAUCUAUAAAUUGCUCUCAAGCAACCGUCGCUAUCUCUGACUGGGCUUUGAUUGUCUUUCAUGCCGUUUGCCCUGUUUAAAUUUUUUAAACUUUAUGUAGUUUUGAUACGUUCUCUACCCCAUCAACAUGUGAGUGUCUUGUAUCAGUGAAGUCAUAUUUGAAAAAAGAAAAUCACACCAUUUUGUGGAGAUGAAGUAUGUGAACUUUUCAUUCUGUUUCGUGAAAUGAUGUGUUAGACUGAGCACACACGGUCAGUCUGCAGUGUCCAGGCUGCACUGCGUGCCCACGCCUCACAUAGACAGAACACCAGGUGACGUAUAUGAACACCAGCUCGGCUGCCUGUGACCUCAGAAUCCUGCAGUGAAAAAUGCCUUUCUGUUCGAUGAGUCAUCGCCAGCCAAAAGCACGCCAAAAGUCUCAGGGGAUCUGUGCAAACUGUCCAGCCUGCCUUAAUUCUGCAAAAAGGGAAAAACAACCUCUGCCACUUCUCUGGAUAAGCUUUUGACUGGGAAAUGGAGCGAUGUCCCUUUAAAAGUCUCCACCAGGCAGCCAGCAAACCGGCUCUGCAACUGCCCUGGGUGGAAUCUCCAGUGAAUGAAUAAUCAGCCUGGAGCAAUGAAACUGUCCUGCACCUCCACCUCUGGAGAUCUUUGAUCUGUCUGAGACUGCAGGAUUCACAGAAGGAGGCUGUUUCCCACAGCAUCAGAAGACAGAGCAGCAAGAGGAAAUCCUCCACAGGACUGUGGCAGAUUCACUGAUGGUGGUCUCUGUAACUGCAAUCUGGGAGAGCCACUAAUGAGCCCUCUGUCCCACAGGCUGGGGGUGUCCCACUUUGCCCCAUGAGCGAAGCUUCUUUUCCAGUUUCUCAAGCCCCACCUUCAGAAAGCUGAAAUUAGAUGACUCAUGUGUAUUUGGAUCCCAUCAACGUUCUGCUGACAACGUGGGAUUUUUGCCUGCCGAGUAUUAGCGAGUAUACCCCAGGUUCUCAGAAGAUUCCAGGCCUCGUUUAAAGGCUUAGAAAUGAAAACUUAACUCAUUAUGUGUUCCCGUCCCCCCUCACCCCUUUCCUUAUGGAGGCCCAUAGGAGGUCAGUAAAUCAUGUGACAAAAGAUGGCAUGGUAUGGUGACCUGGAAGACGUACCCAAUGAUGCCGUGUGAAGAGCUUUCUAACUGUGCCCACAGAGGCUGUCACGUUAUCUUAGGGAACAGACGAAGGCUGACAACUUUGAGAGAGGGUGCUGAUACACUGUGUAAUAUGCUUUACUCUACCCAAGUGUGUGUGCCAAACUUCUUUGUCAUUGGUAAAUAUGCCCAAGAACUUAGUGGCUGUUUUCAUGGUGGAGGAGUAACCCAUUUGGGGGAGUAGUUUCAGUGCGGUGUGCUAUUGUUCUUCCUAGAUAAUAAAUUCCUUGAGGCAAGAAGAGUAUUGUUGCAUUUUUUUAUUAGUCACAACACUUAAUGAGGUGCCUGACAUAUUGCCUAUCAAUUGAUAUGCUCUGAAUGAGUGGACUUAAAUGAGUGACCACCUGACAGUGACCAACACUGGAAAUGG